GGGAGGAGAUCAAAGAGGGUAGCAGAAGAAACACAUAUCCCCGGAAGCAGAAGAGAGCCAGCACAGUCCAGGUCCAGACACUCACCCUCACACACGUUCACACAAUCCAAACAGCCAUAACAGCAACAAAAUCCCCUAUAGACAUCAGGCAACCAUCCCACCAAUCAGAGUCAGAGUCAGAGUCAGAGUCAGAGUCAGAGUCAGAGUCAGAACCCCCACCCCCACUCCCUUAGACCCCCACCACCUAAUAACAACAACAGCAGCAGUUGCCAAUCAGGGGGGACAGGGGGCUGGUGGCGAAUGGAAGUGUCCCCACUUGAACAGCCACCCCACUUCCGGACUCCCCCAUCCUCCUGCUCAUCCUCCUCCUAAUCAACUCCACCAUCAGUAUGCAAACAACACUUCGGGUUCUCAGAGACGCAUGCAACAUCAGCAGCCAGUGGGGGACAUUGUGGCCUUAAGUGCAUGCUCCAGAAGACAAACAUCACCCCCCUCAUUUAUACAGCCAAAUGCACAAGCCCCCACUGCCCCUCAAACAGUUCUCACAGCUGGGGUAAAAGGGGGACCGAGGAGCAGGGGAGGCAGUUUGAACAGGAGCAGGAACACGAAGGGGGCAUCCAGCAGGGCCCCACUGUCACUCUCACAUACAUGCACUUCUGCUCGGACGAGGACGAAG